GGGUCCUACGGGAGGCAGCAGUGGGGAAUAUUGGACAAUGGGGGAAACCCUGAUCCAGCGACGCCGCGUGAGUGAAGAAGUAUUUCGGUACGUAAAGCUCUAUCAGCAGGAAAGAAACAGACGGUACCUGAGUAAGAAGCCCCGGCUAACUACGUGCCAGCAGCCGCGGUAAUACGCAGGGGGCAAGCGUUAUCCGGAUUUACUGGGUGUAAAGGGAGCGUAGACGGCGAAGAAAGUCUGAAGUGAAAGCCCGCGGCUUAACCGCGGAACUGCUUUGGAAACUUUUUUGCUGGAGUACCGGAGAG
rnacentral:rRNA from 1 species